GCGGAGAUGGCUGAGCCUGGUCAAAGGCACUCGCCUCGAGAGCGAGAUCCCGAAAGGGAGCGUGGGUUCGAAUCCCACUCUCCGCG
rnacentral:tRNA from 1 species